rnacentral:lncRNA from 1 species
GCCAUUAAUUCACACUUGGGUGGCACUUAUUGCCACUCAAUGUCACUUGGGUGCCACCAAAUGCCAUUUAUUGUCCCUAGCUGUCACUUGGGUGCCACUUGGAUGCCUCCUGGGUGCCACUAAGAACCACCAGAUGCCACCAAAAUCCAUUUAUUGUCCCCAGAUGCCACUUGGGUGCCAUUAAUUCACACUUGGGUGGCACUUAUUGCCACUCAAUGUCACUUGGGUGCCACCAAAUGCCAUUUAUUGUCCCUAGCUGUCACUUGGGUGCCACUUGGAUGCCUCCUGGGUGCCACUAAGAACCACCAGAUGCCACCAAAAUCCAUUUAUUGUCCCCAGAUGCCACUUGGGUGCCAUUAAUUCACACUUGGGUGGCACUUAUUGCCACUCAAUGUCACUUGGGUGCCACCAAAUGCCAUUUAUUGUCCCUAGCUGUCACUUGGGUGCCAUUAAGUCACACUUAUUAACACUUGAUGCCACUUAGGUGCCACCAGAUGUCAUUUAUUACCUCUAGAAGCCACUUUGGUGCCAUUCAGUCAUACUUGGGUGGCACUUAUUGACCUGAGAUGCCAUUUGGGGACCUCCAGGUGCCACCUGGGUGCCAUCAAAUGCCAUUUAUUGACCCCUGAUGCCACGCAGGUGCCUCCAGGUGGCAUUUGGGUUCCAUCAGAUGCCAUUUCUCAGCCCUCGAUGCCAUCCGCGUGCUUCCACGUGCCAUCAGAUGGCCAUUUCUCAGCCCUCAACGCCAUCUGGGAGCUGCUUUCAGGUGCCACCUGGGUUCCACCAGAUGCCAUUUCUUGGCCUCCAACGCCAUUUGUGUGCUUCCAGUUGCCAUUAGACGCCAUUUCUUCACCCCCAGUGCCAUCUGGGUGCCUCCAAGUGCCAUCUGGGUGCCUUCAGACGCCAUUUCUUGGCCCCCAGUGCCAUCUGGGUGCCUCCGGGUGCCAUGAGACACCACUAGUUGACCCUCAAUGCCAUCUGGGUUCUUCCAGGUGCCAUCAGAUGCCAUUUCUCAGCCUUCAACCACCUGGGUGCCAUCAAAUGCCAUUUAUUGACCCCUGAUGCCACUCAGGUGCCUCCAGGUGGCAUUUGGGUUCCAUCAGAUGCCAUUUCUCAGCCCUCGAUGCCACCUGGGUGCCUUUAGGUGCCAUCAGAUGCCCAUUUCUUGACCCCUGAUGCCACCUGCAUCUCUCAAGGGGUGGUUUGGGUUCCAUCAGAUGCCAUUUCU